GACGAACGCUGGCGGCGUGCCUAAUACAUGCAAGUAGAACGCUGAAGAGAGGAGCUUGCUCUUCUUGGAUGAGUUGCGAACGGGUGAGUAACGCGUAGGUAACCUGCCUUGUAGCGGGGGAUAACUAUUGGAAACGAUAGCUAAUACCGCAUAACAAUGGAUGACACAUGUCAUUUAUUUGAAAGGGGCAAUUGCUCCACUACAAGAUGGACCUGCGUUGUAUUAGCUAGUAGGUGAGGUAAUGGCUCACCUAGGCGACGAUACAUAGCCGACCUGAGAGGGUGAUCGGCCACACUGGGACUGAGACACGGCCCAGACUCCUACGGGAGGCAGCAGUAGGGAAUCUUCGGCAAUGGGGGCAACCCUGACCGAGCAACGCCGCGUGAGUGAAGAAGGUUUUCGGAUCGUAAAGCUCUGUUGUAAGUCAAGAACGGGUGUGAGAGUGGAAAGUUCACACUGUGACGGUAGCUUACCAGAAGGGGACGGCUAACUACGUGCCAGCAGCCGCGGUAAUACGUAGGUCCCGAGCGUUGUCCGGAUUUAUUGGGCGUAAAGCGAGCGCAGGCGGUUUGAUAAGUCUGAAGUUAAAGGCUGUGGCUCAACCAUAGUUCGCUUUGGAAACUGUCAAACUUGAGUGCAGAAGGGGAGAGUGGAAUUCCAUGUGUAGCGGUGAAAUGCGUAGAUAUAUGGAGGAGCACCGGUGGCGAAAGCGGCUCUCUGGUCUGUAACUGACGCUGAGGCUCGAAAGCGUGGGGAGCGAACAGGAUUAGAUACCCUGGUAGUCCACGCCGUAAACGAUGAGUGCUAGGUGUUGGAUCCUUUCCGGGAUUCAGUGCCGCAGCUAACGCAUUAAGCACUCCGCCUGGGGAGUACGACCGCAAGGUUGAAACUCAAAGGAAUUGACGGGGGCCCGCACAAGCGGUGGAGCAUGUGGUUUAAUUCGAAGCAACGCGAAGAACCUUACCAGGUCUUGACAUCCCGAUGCUAUUUCUAGAGAUAGAAAGUUACUUCGGUACAUCGGUGACAGGCGGUGCAUGGUUGUCGUCAGCUCGUGUCGUGAGAUGUUGGGUUAAGUCCCGCAACGAGCGCAACCCCUAUUGUUAGUUGCCAUCAUUCAGUUGGGCACUCUAGCGAGACUGCCGGUAAUAAACCGGAGGAAGGUGGGGAUGACGUCAAAUCAUCAUGCCCCUUAUGACCUGGGCUACACACGUGCUACAAUGGUUGGUACAACGAGUUGCGAGUCGGUGACGGCGAGCUAAUCUCUUAAAGCCAAUCUCAGUUCGGAUUGUAGGCUGCAACUCGCCUACAUGAAGUCGGAAUCGCUAGUAAUCGCGGAUCAGCACGCCGCGGUGAAUACGUUCCCGGGCCU
rnacentral:rRNA from 1 species